UUGGUUCUGGCAUCGAUGAAGAACGCAGCGAAAUGCGAUAAGUAGUGUGAAUUGCAGAAUUCAGUGAAUCAUCGAAUCUUUGAACGCACAUUGCGCCCUUUGGUAUUCCAAAGGGCAUGCCUGUUCGAGCGUCAUUUGUACCCUCAAGCUUUGCUUGGUGUUGGGCGUCUUGUCUCUAGCUUUGCUGGAGACUCGCCUUAAAGUAAUUGGCAGCCGGCCUACUGGUUUCGGAGCGCAGCACAAGUCGCACUCUCUAUCAGCAAAGGUC
rnacentral:rRNA from 1 species